GGCUGAUCAGGUGACCGCUAGGUGACCAUGGUCUUGUGGACCAAAUUCAAAGGCCUGCCUUAUUGGCCCUAUAGGCCAAAUGCUCCCAAGUUCAGUGCUGGAAAGGAAGGCUAGACUGUAGGUCCAGGUACAAGGGAACUAAUAGGCUCAAUCUGUCUCAGACAACAACACCAAAUGCCACAGCAUCACUGUUCCUUACAAGAUUCACUAGGUUAUGGGAAAAUAUAUAUUUUCAAAACUCCCCAUAGUCAACUCUUGUUAUGUAUUGCUUUUUUUGUUUGUUUGUUUAUCAUAUUUUUAUUAAUCUUUUUAUUAAUUGUUGUUAACUUGCCCUAAAAACUUACUUAGCAGGGGGCAGUAUUAAUUUUAGUAGCGAAUAAAAAUAAAUUCUAAUCUUGGACUCUAUUAUCCUCUAGUAAUUUUAUCAAAGUGCCAUAGACUGCAAACUCUCAUUCCCAGUGGUACCCACACAACAUGUUGGCCAUCCACAUGCUAGGUAGGAGAACUCGUUUUUGCUCUACGGGCAAGCAAAGGAGAAUAUGAGGUGGUUUGAAGGAAUGUGAAAAUAUACCCCUUUCGCAGCUCUUUUGUUCCCAGUUCUUUGUGUAGGGCCUGACCAGUUGAUUUCCCCAUGCUCAAUAAAACAUUUUUGGGGUUUCGUAAAUAUCCCAAAAUAUGAUGCAAGCCAGUAAAUAAAUAAAUAAAUAAAUACAUAAUAAAAUACAACUAGUGAGUCAAGAUAAUUGGAUGGGCUUUUGAUUUGCUUGCUUCUGCCAGUGUUCUGAGUGUGCUGAUGUGACUUGGUGUGUUUUAUUGCCUGCCACAAGCUGUAAAAAAUGGUUCAAUAGUAGUAGUCUAACCUAAGGGCAGGAAUAGUGUCAGAAUAAUUGGAGGUGGUUGGAGCGAGGGGAAAAGGUACAGACGCUCAGUCAUAUAGUAAUAAUUACUUCAUUCUUUUCUAUUGACAGUAUGGCAAGCUGGAUAAGAUGAGCAGAUACUAAUGAUGAGUCUACUGAAUUUCCUUUCUCACAGUUUCCUGCCUGUUACCUAUACAUCCUGGGGACAGCAUGCAUUAUGUACUAAUUUCCAGCAUUUUCAGCAGCCUGUUUUAUCUAAGAGUUACUUGUUUUUACAAUAUAGGAUACACAAUAAAAGUAUUACUUACUUAUUAUGUGUAGCCAGCACAUGCACCUGGGGGGGUUGUGCUAGAAACACAAGGUUUGCUUUCAUAUGUUCAGGACUUUUUUUUUCUUUUUUACUGUUACUACUAUGAGAGCUCAAGCUUUUUAAAGAAUUUUUAAAAAAAAAUAGUUAAUGAAGGUUUGGGAAUACAUAAGUUUGCUAAAACCAUUAUAUUAUAAAUCUUAAAAAAAGAGGGAGGUGGCAGCUGCUUCUUUAAACUGAUCUCAGAAAUGGGAUAAACUUGCAGCCUCCUGGAGAGCAAACUGCAAUUAGUCAUCGGCUGAUGUACUUUAUGAUCAAUGUUUAUUUGAUAUGUGUUGAUAGCUAAAGCCUUUUUCAUCCCUUCUGUAUGUUUCCUUCCCCUUUCAUUUGCUAGUUACCAUUCUGUUUGUAAUAUUUUCCUUUAAAAUCAAUCAAAACAUCCCAAACUUCUGCGGAAAUUAUAUCUGUGAGACUUUGGAAGAUACAUGUUUUGUAGUCUAAAACUAUACCCAUAGGAGUAGCUAGGAAAAUGCCUUUGCUAAUCCUAAAGAAGUCCUCGAGUUUCCUUUUGAAACUGCAGGAGAGAAAGAAACUGCAGACCAAAGAUGUUAAUAUAUGAACUAAAUCAUUUGUACCAGGUUGUGAGUUUAUAAAACACUGGGAGGCAAAACCCCUUACCAUGUUAUUCAGUGUAGGACAGAUAAUUCCUUUGGAAGCUCCUUUAGGGGAGAGAGAAUGGUCAGAAGGCAAACAGAUUUGAAACAUCUCACCAUUCCCUACCUACAUUUACAAACUAACAAAACUCUAUUUGUUCUGUUGACAAGAUUACUAAGUUGACUGUGUCUUGUCUAAUUUGGGCUUCAGGGAAGCCAGUAAGUUGUGAAUAGAAUGUUAAACCAAGAUCCAAGAGACCUGUGUUCAAAUACAUUCUUAGCCAUGAAGGUCACUUACAUUAAUUUGCCUUUACCUGCCUCACAUGACUGUAGUGACAGGGAAAAGUGGGGUAACUUCUUGUAAAUGUCCCUACAAUUUCACUAUCCAUUUGUAGGUGGCGAACUCACUUGCUGCUAACUGCCUCCCCGCCUCCAUAGAAUACCCCUGGGGACAACACUGCGUUAUCAUGUUGCCUUCCAAAACAACAGUUGGGGUGUAAACCUGUAUGCGGUUAAGAUUUCAGCUAAGGUGACUAGAUGUUUCUUCAUGCAACAAAGUACAUCCAAAAAGAAAAUUAGAUGUCAGGAAGAAAAGGUUUCUACACAGCCUUCCCCUCAUUUUUUAUUUUUUUUAAAUCAUUAAAAUAUUUAUAACCUGCCCUUCAUUGCAAAACAUCAUAGUGAGGAACAAUACUUCAUUUAAUACAUUUCAAAACAUAAGGGCAGCUAAAGUUGCAGUAAUCAUUUUGUUUUUUACUGACAUAUUUGCUGACAUAUUGCUAAAACUACAAAGCAGCACUUUCCAAUUUCCAAAUUAUUGGGUAAAAAGUGCAAAAGGCACUCUGAGCCACUAACAUCACUUGUGAUUCCAGUAACAGAGCUGAAUCACCACUAGAAUGUACAUGUGUUAUUUCAGGGGGGAGUACAACCCUGAAAGAACAGGUCAUAGAAUCAUAGAGUUGGAAGAGACCACAAGGGCCAUCGAGUCCAACCCCCUGCCAAGCAGGAAACACCAUCAGAGCACUCCUGACAUAUGGUUGUCAAGCCUCUGCUUAAAGACCUCCAAAGAAGGAGACUCCACCACACUCCUUGGCAGCAAAUUCCACUGUCGAACAGCUCUUACUGUCAGGAAGUUCUUCCUAAUGUUUAGGUGGAAUCUUCUUUCUUGUAGUUUGGAUCCAUUACUACUACUACUACUACUACUACUACCUUUCAUUUGUACUACCACUACUACUACUACUACUACUACUACCUUUCAUUUGUAGAUCCAUCUUAUCAGGUUUAGGUCUCAAAUGUUUUGUUUUUUGGUGGGGAGGAAUGUUUUGUUCUUCAGGGGAUAAUUCUGCCACUCCCUCUGCUCUUUGAAUUAGACCAAAUAUGUGCAACAACAAGAGCACAAUAUAUUUGUACUUCUAGCUGUCCUUAGAUUUGCUUCAUGUUCAGCUCUGGAUAGGACAGAAAGAAAUAUUCCUGAACUGAACAGAAAGAGAGCAAAUAAUUUGGAAGCUAUUUGAAAUCUAAAUGAGGAGCUUUUAUUUCUUCAUAGUACUUGGGUCUUAGAACAAAGUACUUCAAAUACAGAAAGCAUUUAGUUUAAGCGGACAAGAUAAUUACUGAAAAAGUGCACAGUCCUUGCUACUGACCCACACUUGUCAUGAAAGGGGAAAGCAAAUAGGAACAGAUGGCAAUGUAUAUAUUUUCUUCAUUACAAUAAUGGUUAUGGAGGUCAGAAAGCCAUUAAAGAAGAAAUCAUAGGAGCUUGAGAAGCAUAAAGGACUAAGCACCACAAAAUUGCUUUAGGCUUUCCCAUUAAAAGAGCUCAGUUUGCUAAGCACCAGUCAUUCCUGUAAAGUAUCAUUGGGUUUAAACUGGUUUCCUGGGAGACAUCCCAUUUAAGCAGAUUUCCCAAUUAAGCACAGGAUGCAGGUUUGAAAAACUAGUUCUGUACUAAUUGAUGAAGUGUAAUAUGUUUGCUCACUGCUUACAUGGAAGGAGACUGAUUUUGAAGGAACCAUGAGAAAUAUGUUUACAAAAGUUCUUUAUCAAACCGGGAUCUCUGGGGCUAAAUGACUAUAGGAGAGUUCAGAAAAUGCUUCUGGCUCUGCUUCAUGGAACACAGUCCCAUAACUCAGUGAAGGGACAAUAUUGAAUUAUGAACUCAAGAUUGACAACGUCAUCUUAUAACAUUAGGAAAAAACUAGGGACAUUAUUAGAUCGCCUAGUCUCUCUUCCGGAGAAAGAUUGCUUCUUAUACUAGGUUUCCUUGUGAUUUGUUCAGUCUUGAUAUCAAAUGUCCCAAAUGAUUGUUCUUUUUCUAGUUUUAGAUCAUAUUGUAUCAUGGAAGAUGAAUGGCCCAUUAGGCAAUUCUUAAUAUUAAUUUCACCCUAUUAUAUUUAAUGGCAAUUUUCUGUGAACUCAGUUAUGACACAAGAGGCCUCUUGAAGCAAGUUAGUCCAGUAUUUUGUUUCCAACAGUGCACAACUAAGAUGUCUGUGUAAAGCCUACAAGAAAGGCGUGAGUGCAAGAGCAUUCUCUUGCUCAUGAUCUCCAACAACUGGUAUUUAUGCUAUUUUUGAUACCGAAGGUAGUAUAUGGCCAUCAUGACUAGUAGCCAUUGAUUGUCUUAUCCACAAUGAAUUUGUCUAACCCUCCUUUAAAGCUAUCCAGCUUGGUUGCUAUCAUCACAUCUUGUGGAAACAAGUUCCAUAGUUUACUAUUUACUCUUGUACUUCCACUUUUCUCUCCUUUCCUCAGUCUUCUGCCACUCGGCUUCAUUGGAUGGUGACAGUUUCUUCUUCUUUUUAAUAAUCAAUUUUUAAAAGAUCAAAAAGAAGAAAAGAGAAAGGGGGAAAAGAGAAGGGGGGAAAUAAAAAAACUCUCUUUUGAAAUUAUAUCUUAACCUUUAUUCCACACAAAGGAGGGUGAACCCUCCCAGCUCUCACCUGGGAGCUUCCCCCUCUUUCCCCAGUCUCUUACCCUGAGAGAUCCUCUCCACCCAGCCUCUUGCACGAAGUCCUUCAUCUUCAAUCCAUCACUUUCCUUUUUUUAUUAUGGUAUUAUUAAGGCUUUUCAAAAUGCAGUAACAGAGAAUAUU
rnacentral:lncRNA from 1 species